CUCAACCGUUGAUUAAAAGAUCCAACGGGUGAGAUCAAAAACCUAUUUUCUUCCAUUUUUAAACCUAAACACCACCAAACCCUAGCCAUUUCACAACAAUAGCUGCAUAACUUCUCCUCUCUCUACCUUCUCUCUACGCUUUCCCUCUUCUCUAUUCCUUUUUUCCGCCGUCUAAGCACCGUUGAACGAAUAGCAACAUCGGCCGACCACCGCCGCCAGAAGACAACAGCCCCAACGCCGGCAGCCAUGCCAUCACACCAACCAUGCCAUCACACCGACGAUGCCACCAGCGGAUCCAACCCCCAAAACCAACCAUCUACUGCCGUCAUCGCUAUCAACGCCGACGAAACCAUCUGAGAUGCCGGCCAGCCGCCACCUAGCCACCGUCAAACCCGAACCAGACGCUGGAUUCUCCUCUUCAUCACAUGCAGCAGCCGCUGCUUCCUCCUCUCUGUCGCCGCCGCCACUGUCCAUUUUGUGAGGGGCUUUCAAAAACUCAUCCUCAUGUUUGACCAAAUGUUUAAAUGUUUGUGUUUGAUUUUAAUUAUAAUCUACCCCUUUUUCGUUAGACAGUUUUUUGAUAUUAAAUCGGUAAAAUUUGACUUUGACUUACUAAUUGAUUCUUUCCAAUUCGUGUUUGUUCAUGUCUCUAGAUUGAUAUAUGUGAAAAGCCCUAAAUUUUAUGGACUUUGAUUAAACCCCAAAUUUUCUACUAGUUGAUAUUUUAGUGAUUUUACAAUUCCGGACAAUUUUUAUUGAAUGUUGACAUUUUUUGAUAUGUAAUUGUUGAUAUUUGGCCAUUUUUGAUUUCUAGUAUUACGAUGAAAUGAGAUUGACUCAAGUGGUGGAAAUAUCUCAAUAUAUCCUUUGUUCACUGAUUUGCCUCCUUGAUUUUUAUUUUUCUAUUUAUGGUAAUUUUUUAUCUGUUUAUUUUAAUUGUGAUUGAUGGUAUUGAUUUAAAGAAAGUAUGUCAUUUAACUGAUUUUCUUGCCUUCCGUUUUAAUGGAAUAUUGAUCAUUUAUUAUAACAAAUUUUUCUUCUCUUAAUUGGAUUUGAUUAAGAUAAUCAAGGAAAAGAUUUUGUUGUGAUUUUUUAUGGAAUACCUUGAUCGGAAUUGAUUUUAGUUGCUUGAUUGAUAAUUGACCCCUUUCGUUAAGGAAAGAUUCUUCCUUAAUUGAUUUAUCAGAUAUUAUCUUCCUUUUAUUUUCUCUACUCUUUUGCAAUAUAACUUCCCCUCUUUCAAUCGUCAGAGAUCUCUCAUUAUCCUCUCAUACACUUCUACACUUCUACACUCUUCUACACUACACUUGAGUGUGUAAUUUUAUUUGCUGCUUUUACUUUGGGAUUGCUGGUCCUUGUUUGUUCGUACGGCUGUUAUCCACUUUUGAACAUCCAAUAUUCUUUUGUUAUUGUGCUGUUAAUCGGUUAGUUCUCUUGAACGAUGCAUGAAGUUUCUUUUAUGUUAUUCUAGAUGACUAUGACCUCACUUUGAUUUACUUACUUUAAAUGUUUGAUGACAUGAGCCUUCUAUUCAUUUUUGUGUAAUUAUUUCAUUACUUAUUGGGAUGGUCAUGUUAUUUGCUUUUGUUAAUAUGGCAAGUUUUGCCCUGCUGUUAAAUGUUUUCCCCAGUAGAAUGUUUGUUGUUUGUGAAUCUGAAAUAAUCUUUACGUGUCACAUAACCCCUUAGGAUCUUGACAGCGCCAAGGACUGGUGUUGUGUUGCCAAAGAUAUAUUUCGAAUUUGGGCUGUGUUUUUGUGUUUUGCUUGUGCUCACAGAUUAAAGCCGAACGGUUCAACAAGACAAGAGUUGCCAUGAAUUUUUGAGGGUCGCUGAGGGCUAUCCAAUCUAGCUCUUCUUAGUCUUUCAUUUAAUUCAUUCAUUGUUGGUCUGUAACUUAUUGUACAAAUACUGAUAUAAUAAUAUUUAUGAGACUGCUUGGGGUGGGGAUUUAUGUACUACGUGAAUCACCUAGGCAAAAGAAUAAUCUAGGACUAACGAUAAACUUGCGUGGUCACAUAGAAAGUAUUCUUUAAAAUUACUUUUCAGCAUAUAAAUGUUAAACUCCAGCAUGUUAAUUUACCUUUCAGCGUUAUAAAAAAUGCAUUUUCAGCAUGUUAAUGAACUUUUCAGUAUUAAGAGUGUUUGUAGUAAUUUUCCACGUUUGUAAUUUCUUACAGUCAUUAGCUUAUAACAUGUUUUACACAAAAUUAACAAGCAAAAUGCUUCAACGUAUUUACUUUAUUUCGACAUAUUUUAUCUUUAAAAACUUUACAACAUUAUUUUUAAUGGUUUGACAAUUACUUUUAAUCAAUAAACACGUACUUUUCACUUAGACAUUAUGCUUAACUAUCUUUUACACAAUAAAUUAAUAUUCUUUUUCUUUCACACUUGUUUAACUUUGACAUGUCUUCUCAUGAAUUUUUGCCACAUUGUCAUAAAUGUUUUGACAGUUACUUUUCAAUAAACAAUUGUUGAACACUUAGAUAUCAUGCCUAUAGAUUAAUGACACAAAAAUAAGUUAAUUAUUUGUCUUUGUAUGUUAAUCACAUUAAUCUCUUUAAUAACCAAGAGGUUAACUUGGGAUCAUUAUGUGCUAAGUGACGUCCAAUGUAUUCGCUUGUUAUGUGCUAAGUGACGUCCAAUGUAUUCGCUUGUGUCUUAGGGAAAAUAUAACUUUAUUUUUGUCUAGACCACAAAACCAUAAUACCUCUUGGAUGAUAGGUGGGAUGAGAGGUAUUACUAAAGAUGCUAGUUUUAUCCUUUAUUUUUAGAGCGUCUUUAGGAUAACAACCAGCCUAGAUGGGGUGGGACGAGUAGUCAUUUGGAAGUGAUGAUCUCUAGAGAUAUUACACGACAUUUGAAAUUGUCACUUGUUUAAGAAUUCAUCCAGUGGGUCAGAUAAGGAAUAAACAAGUUGGGGUUCGGAGUUGAAUGAGAUAAAAACGUUUCUUUAUCUGAUUUGACGAAUUCUUUCUUACUCUUUUAUUUACUUUACAUAUUUAUUUAUUUGGGGUAGUCAGUUUAUUACAUAAGUAGUUACCUUUGUUAUAAUUUAUGUCACUUCUCUUUCUCCUCGCUUGUCUUAUUUAUAUAAUUUAUUGACUUUUAUCACCUAGAUAAUUAAUAAUUAGAAAUUAUAAAAUAACAUGUGUUUAUUUAUUCACUAGUUAAACAUUAAGUUAAUAACAAAACAAGAGACCUUUAUUUGAUCAUAUAGAAUUCCCACGUAAAAUACGAAUUCGGCCUGAAAUCAACUUUGUGGACCUUGAAAGGUGCCUAACACCUUUCUUUCAAGGUAAUUUGAACCAUUACCGAAUCUCUGGUGAACUAAGAUAAAAUAAAAAAAAAAGGUUCGUAGUUCGCCUAGAUCGGUGCCCUAACGAACCUUAAUUUGUUAGGUGGCGAUUCUUCACACUCUACCCUUCGGACAAUCCCAAAAAGAGUUUGUCACGUCGAAUUUCACUUUUUGCGAGAAAAAUAGGGCCUGACAGAAUAGAAACUCCGCUAGAGAUCUUAGGUUCUAACCAUUAUGAAUUUGUGUUUUAUGUGUGAUUCUAUUGUUUGUCUGAAUUUUAUUUUGAUUAUGACUUUUCAUGAUUAUUGUUUGUUUUGACACCUCAAUUUAUUUUUCCACAUGUUAGCCCUUCUCCUUUUAUGUGUUUUAUAUUUGUCCAUGCCUAUCCCUUCCCCUCUUCUCCCUUUUGUUGGCUAUACGUUUUGAUAUUUAUUUGUUUUUAUGUUGCUAAGCAUGUUAUUAUAUUUUGCUAUGUGCUACGUAUUACUGCUUUAUAUAACUGGCAUCCCACUCAUUCUUUCCUUCACUUGAAAUCUCUUUUUAUUUUUCUUUUAUGGAUGGUUACUAAGGCUUUCUUCGCCUUGAAGAACAGGAUCCAGAAGUUGAUUAACACCAAAGUGAUAAAUGUGACGGGAUCAAGUUCUAAUGCUUCUUGAUUUUUUAAGCUUGACUGGCACUUGUUGAAAAUGGUGAAGAGAAUAACAUGUUGAUUCUCUAGACUCUCGAACAUUUAAAAUUCCUUCAAGUUUUACAAUUUGUAGUUUCCUUUUACGUUUUCCUUAUGUAAUUUGAACUAUGAUCGAC
rnacentral:lncRNA from 1 species